rnacentral:rRNA from 1 species
GGGAAUAUUGCACAAUGGGCGAAAGCCUGAUGCAGCAACGCCGCGUGAGCGAUGAAGACCUUCGGGUUGUAAAGCUCUUUUCUGAAGGACGAGGAAGGACGGUACUUCAAGAAUAAGGAUCGGCUAACUACGUGCCAGCAGCCGCGGUAAUACGUAGGAUCCGAGCGUUAUCCGAAUUUACUGGGCGUAAAGCGCGUGCAGGCGGUUUGAUAAGUUGGAUGUUAAAGCUCCCGGCUCAACUGGGAGAGGCCGUUCAAUACUAUCAGACUAGAGGACGGUAGAGGGAGGUAGAAUUCCCGGUGUAGUAGUGAAAUGCGUAGAUAUCGGGAGGAAUACCAGUGGCGAAGGCGGCCUCCUGGACCGUUCCUGACGCUCAGACGCGAAAGCUAGGGGAGCGAACGGGAUUAGA